AAAUGAAUUGACGGGGGCCCGCACAAGCGGUGGAGCAUGUGGUUUAAUUCGAUGCAACGCGAAGAACCUUACCUACUCUUGACAUCCAGAGAAGCCAGCGGAGACGCAGGUGUGCCUUCGGGAGCUCUGAGACAGGUGCUGCAUGGCUGUCGUCAGCUCGUGUUGUGAAAUGUUGGGUUAAGUCCCGCAACGAGCGCAACCCUU
rnacentral:rRNA from 1 species